CAUGAAGCUGGAAUCGCUAGUAAUCGCGAAUCAGAAUGUCGCGGUGAAUACGUUCCCGGGUCUUGUACGCACCGCCCGUCACACCAUGGGAGUCGGAUAUGCCCGAAGCCGGUGACCUAACCGCAAGGAAGGAGCCGUCGAAGGUGGAGCCGAUGACUGGGGUGAAGUCGUAACAAGGUACC
rnacentral:rRNA from 1 species